rnacentral:rRNA from 1 species
UACGGGGGGGGGCAAGCGUUGUUCGGAAUUACUGGGCGUAAAGGGCUCGUAGGCGGCCAACUAAGUCAGACGUGAAAUCCCCAGGCUCAACCUGGGAACUGCGUCUGAUACUGGAUGGCUUGGAUUCGGGAGAGGGAUGCGGAAUUCCAGGUGUAGCGGUGAAAUGCGUAGAGAUGCGGAGGAACACCAGUGGCGAAGGCAGCUCGCUGGGACGUUACUGACGCUGAGACGCGAAAGCGUGGGGAGCAAACAGGG